GAUUUCAACUGAAAAAGUCAUCAACAAUAAAGUGGUAUAACUCAUCAAGAUCUAUAACUUUUAUUUGGGUCAUUUUUUCAUCCAACAAAGUGAUUUGUAACAUUAUUCACAAAAUGUACAUAUCUCUUAUAUAGUUUAUAAGCUAUAAGAGAGAUAUGUAAACUUUAUAAACAAUGUUACUAUUACUUUGUCGGAUAAAGAAAUGACCAAAAUAAAAGUUAUAGAUAUUGAUGAGUUAUACAACUUUGUUGUUGAUGACUUUUUUAGUUGAAAUC
rnacentral:pre_miRNA from 1 species